UACGGGGGGGGCAAGCGUUGUUCGGAAUUACUGGGCGUAAAGGGCUUGUAGGUGGCCAACUAAGUCAGACGUGAAAUCCCUCGGCUUAACCGGGGAACUGCGUCUGAUACUGGAUGGCUAGAGUGUGGGAGAGGGAUGCGGAAUUCCAGGUGUAGCGGUGAAAUGCGUAGAUAUCUGCAGGAACACCCGUGGCGAAAGCGGCGAGCUGGAUCACUACUGACGCUGAGGAACGAAAGCUAGGGGAGCAAACAGG
rnacentral:rRNA from 1 species